GUGCCCUUGCGGGACGCGUGCAUCGAGUUACUUAGAUCUGCGAUCUCUCGACUACUAAAUCGCUGAACGGAACAUUCACCUUGUCGUACUGUGCACCGCUCGAGCACGAUGAUAUCAUUUAGAUGUCUUCGAUCGCGUCGGUUCGGUGCAGCGGUAUCCAUUGAAGCGGAAAAUUAAUCUCUCAGCGAGAAGUUACGUAUCCAUCCGGCCAACGUCGAGGCGAUACAUACCCGACAAAAGGGAUCCCACUGUCCACCGUCUCAGACGGGAUCUCCAGCGGUCCACGGGGCCAAGCAGAGCGACGUCCUUCGACGUUCUUGGGCAUCUUCGUGGAAAGUGGCUUCUGGAUGCCGUCGACAGGGAAGAAGAGUAUCGCCAGUCUUAAGAAUGCUGUUCGACUAGUUCGAACUGAAAUCAACCGGAAGGGAAGGAGGA